AAGCCGUUAAGUUUGCCGCCUGGGGAGUACGGUCGCAAGACUAAACUUAAAGGAAUUGGCGGGGGAGCACCACAAGGGGUGAAGCCUGCGGUUCAAUUGGAGUCAACGCCGGAAAUCUUACCGGGGGCGACAGCAGAGUGAAGGUCAAGCUGAAGACUUUACCAGACAAGCUGAGAGGAGGUGCAUGGCCGUCGCCAGCUCGUGCCGUGAGGUGUCCUGUUAAGUCAGGUAACGAGCGAGAUCCCUGCCUCUAGUUGCUACCAUUAUUCUCAGGAGUAGUGGAGCUAAUUAGAGGGACCGCCGUCGCUGAGACGGAGGAAGGUGGGGGCUACGGCAGGUCAGUAUGCCCCGAAACCCUCGGGCCACACGCGGGCUGCAAUGGUAAGGACAAUGAGUUUCGAUUCCGAAAGGAGGAGGCAAUCUCUAAACCUUACCACAGUUAUGAUUGAGGGCUGAAACUCGCCCUCAUGAAUAUGGAAUCCCUAGUAACCGCGUGUCACUAUCGCGCGGUGAAUACGUCCCUGCUCCUUGCACACACCGCCCGUAAU
rnacentral:rRNA from 1 species